GGGUGUGGGUGUGGGUGUGGGUGUGGGUGUGGGUGUGGGUGUGUGAGUAUAUCUUCUUCACUCUCAUCCGCACCCACACCCUCACCCACACCUUCACAU
rnacentral:pre_miRNA from 1 species